rnacentral:rRNA from 1 species
GACGAACGCUGGCGGCGUGCCUAAUACAUGCAAGUCGAACGCACAGUUUAUACCGUAGCUUGCUACACCAUAGACUGUCAGUUGCGAACGGCUUAGGUAAGCGUAGGUAGCCUGCCUGGUAGCGGGAGGUAACUAUUGGUAACGAUAGCUAAUACCGCAUAAUAUUAAUUAUUGCAUGAUAAUUAUUUGAAAGUUGCAAUUGCACCACUACCAGAUGGACCUGCGUUGUAUUAGCUGGUAGGUGAGGUAACGGCGGACCUAGGCGACGAUACAUUGCCGAACUGAGAGGGUGAUCGGCCAGACUGGGACGGAGACACGGCACAGACUCCUACGGGAGGCAGCAGGAGGGAAUCUUGGGGAAGCGAUGAAAGUCUGAGCGAGAAACGCCGCGUGAGUGAAGAGGGAUGUCGGAUCGUAAAGCUCGGUUGUAAGGGAAGAACGGGUGUGAGCGUGGAAAGUUCACACUGUGACGGUAACUGACCAGAAAGGGACGGCUAACUACGUG